GAGAAUACUUCAUUUUUCCAACAAACAUUAGUAGACGAUUCAACAUCCCAGGGGUAGUGCGAUCACAUCCCAGGGUCGACGAUAGAAAGGUGACGGACCGCAGAGGCGGUAAUUAACGAUAAAGAAAGGGAGAGGCGAUACGAAACGCUGAAUCCAAUCGCCGGAGGACUCCACGUAGGAGGAAUUUUUGGCAAAUACAUUUUGGUGCCUCCUGUGAGGUCUGAAUUCCUGAUCUCUGGUUUGAGCGAAUCUGCGUAUCUGGUAGCAGUAGAUUGAGUACAAUGGAUUCAAGAACAACGAGGUUGAGAACAUCUACUUCAUGAACACCCUCGCUAUCCAGUCGAGCUAGUUGUUACAAAAGAUUCGGAAUAAAAGAUAAGUAGAUUCAAUCAUUUCUGCAUACGCUCAUUAUGCGUAUCCGCUUUUUAAAAAAUUAAUAAAUAUUUCACAUUAAAUUGCUUCUUCGAACCCCUUAGAAGUUCGCAAUUUCUAAUAUAAGUAUUCACUGUCUCAUCUUUCUUACCAAAUUAUUAUAA
rnacentral:lncRNA from 1 species